GGAACACAGCAAUAGCCCGGGGGGGCCCGAGGUUGGCUGUUUCUGGGGCUGAAGGAGCUGGUGGGUCCUCCCAGAGACGAGGAACCUGAGACCAGGAAGGCUGUCAUUCAUCCAAGAUCAGGAAACUGCCGUCCAGUUUACUCCAGUGGAUGGAGAGGGGAGAUGAAUUUGGCUCCUCAUACGCCCACUGGUGCCUCUCCCCCAAGCCCCCCAGCCUAGCUGCCAGCAGCUCCCUGGAAACUCCCGGCGGAAAAAUAAUUGUGCUGGCCCAGGGCUGCUGGCGAGACCCGGGAGCUCCCUUCUCUGUGUCCUGCUGAUGCCAGCCCCAAAAGGCACCCACCAAUUUCCUCCCAACUGGAAUGCAGUGUUUCUGGAGCACCUACUGGGUGCCGACAGGCCCUGGGAGAGCAGAUCCUAUUCCUUUCCCCGCCUGGUCUGCCGGAGGAGCAGACAACAGGGCAAGCUGCGACAAGAAAGCCACCAGGCCCCAGUCACUGUGCACUGAGCCCCUACGACACGCUGGGAGUUCCCAUGCCCACUGGACCCUCCCAGCAACCCCUCGGGUGGCUGUCAGCAGUCCCAUUUUCGAGAAGUGGCAACUGAGCCUCCACAGGGGAGAGUGCUGGUCUAGCGUCAUCCAGUUAAAAAAGGCAGCCCCAAGACCCCACCCCUGAUCAUCUGAUAUCAGAGCCCACCGCCUCUCCUAAACCCUUCCUGGAAAGUCCUGGCAUCAGAGCUGUGGGAGUGAGCUUUCCUGGGCAGGGCGGUGUGGGGUCAGGGCCCCCGCUGGAGGUGCAGCCUCCCCCCUGCACUGGGAAUAGCAGGGGGCCUGGACCUCACUGGACACCAGCCUUUCUUUUACAAUGAUGCAUUAUUUAUCUCGCUCAGGCCACACAUGUGCGAACUCUCUAGAUAAUUUUGGUCUGUCCUUUUAAGCAACAACAGUUAUAAUUUAACCACUUAUGAGGAAAUGAAGUCUACACAAUAUCUUCUCUGUGUCCGUAAGAAAAAAAUUUACGACCACAAACCUUUUUCAGGCCACAGCACCGUAGGGUAAGAGUCUAGGUAGAGUAAGAGUCUUAUUGAGAGGGGAAAGGUUACCUGCACCCACACAAAUGGCCUCCACCUGGUAUGUUGUUAUGCCUGCUUUUAAUGGUUGUUCUGUGUCCUCUCUUGUUGUUGGACUCAUUUCUAAAAGCACUUAAGGUCUGUUCUGAAGAGUGGAAAAUGAGUCUGAUGCCUCUUGUUGGUGACUGGAGUGUCCAUGAUUCUGUUGGGAGCACAGUUUAACAGCAAAGGGAAUUCAUCAAGAGAAUCAACACUACCAAGUACUGCUCAAGUUCAGGAAGCUCUGGGGACUCAAGGACUGAGAUCGGGGUCUUGACACAGUGUGGCUUUUAGCCUGUAUAGUAGAUUUGUGCCAAGUAGAGAAAAGUUCCACUUCCUCGAGACACUUGACUGCCAUCUGCUGGGAAAUUGUCCUGAUAAAUACACAAAUAUAUCUUGUUAACUGUGUGAAUAACACCCUUUAGAAUUAUGCACAACUUGUACAGCUGUUCAUGGCAGCUCUGCCUUGAUGUCACCAGAAUUCUCCUUCUCCAUCGCGUCGUAUGUUUUUCUGCCUUCAUUUUGGUCUUCCGUACCUUAGAUUGGAUUUAUCUUUGUGGUCAAAAUAUGACUGCUCUAUAACUCAAGAAACAAGGUCCCUUUCCCAGGCAUCCCCCAAAAUAAAAAAGUAUAGCUAAGGACUCUGGACCAUAUUGAGUAACCCUGCAUCACUAAAUCACCUCUGUGAUCAUGGAGAGGGGAUGGGUGUCAGUCAGAGCAGUCAAAGUUACUGCUGCAUAACAAGCCACCCAAAACCUCAGUAGCUUAAAGAACAAAGAUUUAUCUCUUACUCGCACUGA